rnacentral:rRNA from 1 species
AUACGAAGGUGGCAAGCGUUACUCGGAAUUACUAGGCGUAAAGCGCGGGUAGGUGGUCUUGUAAGUCUGCUGUGUAAGCUCCCGGCUUAACUGGGAGAGGUCAGCGGAUACUGCAAGGCUCGAGUGUGGGAGAGGGUACUGGAAUUCCCGGAGUAGCGGUGAAAUGCGCAGAUAUCGGGAGGAACACCAAAGGCGAAAGCAGGUACCUGGACCACUACUGACACUGAGCCGCGAAAGCUAGGGGAGCAAACAGGAUUAGAUACCCCAGUAGUCC